rnacentral:lncRNA from 1 species
CCAAAACCCAACUCACUUCUUCCUCAUCUUCUGUGGAGAUCAAUGGCUUAUUAAAAUUUAUUGAAAACCUGUGAUGCAAAAUAUACCAUGAGGAAUGCAAAGACUGAUUAAAAUCUACUUCUAUUUUCACAAAGCAUUAAAGGGUCAAUGUAAUGUGGAUGACCUGUACAAUUGCCUAUAAUCUAUCUUGAGUAGAAAGGUCUG